rnacentral:rRNA from 1 species
ACGCUGGCGGCAGGCCUAACACAUGCAAGUCGAGCGGUAGAGAGAGGCUUGCUUCUCUUGAGAGCGGCGGACGGGUGAGUAAUGCCUAGGAAUCUGCCUGGUAGUGGGGGAUAACGUUCGGAAACGGACGCUAAUACCGCAUACGUCCUACGGGAGAAAGCAGGGGACCUUCGGGCCUUGCGCUAUCAGAUGAGCCUAGGUCGGAUUAGCUAGUUGGUGAGGUAAUGGCUCACCAAGGCGACGAUCCGUAACUGGUCUGAGAGGAUGAUCAGUCACACUGGAACUGAGACACGGUCCAGACUCCUACGGGAGGCAGCAGUGGGGAAUAUUGGACAAUGGGCGAAAGCCUGAUCCAGCCAUGCCGCGUGUGUGAAGAAGGUCUUCGGAUUGUAAAGCACUUUAAGUUGGGAGGAAGGGCAGUUACCUAAUACGUGAUUGUUUUGACGUUACCGACAGAAUAAGCACCGGCUAACUCUGUGCCAGCAGCCGCGGUAAUACAGAGGGUGCAAGCGUUAAUCGGAAUUACUGGGCGUAAAGCGCGCGUAGGUGGUUAGUUAAGUUGGAUGUGAAAUCCCCGGGCUCAACCUGGGAACUGCAUUCAAAACUGACUGACUAGAGUAUGGUAGAGGGUGGUGGAAUUUCCUGUGUAGCGGUGAAAUGCGUAGAUAUAGGAAGGAACACCAGUGGCGAAGGCGACCACCUGGACUGAUACUGACACUGAGGUGCGAAAGCGUGGGGAGCAAAC